CACCUGCGGAAGGAUCAUUG
rnacentral:rRNA from 1 species